AGCGAACGCUGGCGGCAGGCCUAACACAUGCAAGUCGAACGAACCUUUCGGGGUUAGUGGCGGACGGGUGAGUAACACGUGGGAACGUGCCUUUAGGUUCGGAAUAACUCAGGGAAACUUGUGCUAAUACCGAAUGUGCCCUUCGGGGGAAAGAUUUAUCGCCUUUAGAGCGGCCCGCGUCUGAUUAGCUAGUUGGUUGAGGUAAUGGCUCACCAAGGCGACGAUCAGUAGCUGGUCUGAGAGGAUGAUCAGCCACAUUGGGACUGAGACACGGCCCAAACUCCUACGGGAGGCAGCAGUGGGGAAUCUUCGCAAUGGGCGAAAGCCUGACGCAGCCAUGCCGCGUGAAUGAUGAAGGUCUUAGGAUUGUAAAAUUCUUUCACCGGGGACGAUAAUGACGGUACCCGGAGAAGAAGCCCCGGCUAACUUCGUG
rnacentral:rRNA from 1 species